UACGAAGGGUGCAAGCGUUACUCGGAAUUACUGGGCGUAAAGCGUUCGUAGGUGGUUCGUUAAGUCUGAUGUGAAAGCCCUGGGCUCAACCUGGGAAUGGCAUUGGAUACCGGCGGUCUAGAGUGCGGUAGAGGGCAGUGGAAUUCCCGGUGUAGCAGUGAAAUGCGUAGAGAUCGGGAGGAACAUCUGUGGCGAAGGCGACUGCCUGGACCAGCACUGACACUGAGGCACGAAAGCGUGGGGAGCAAACAGG
rnacentral:rRNA from 1 species